CGGUGUUUAACUGGCGUGAUGUGGGACGUCCUACCGGUGGGCUUAGCCUCGCGAGGGGCGGCCCAACUAAUAUCCCGUCGCGGUGCUCUUUACUGAGUGUCGAGUCGGGCCGGUACGUUUACUUUGAACAAAUUAGAGUGCUUAAAGCAGCUAUCCUCGCCUGAAUACUGCGUGCAUGGGAAUAUGGGAUAGGACCUCGGUUCUAUUUUUGUUGGUUUUCGGAACCCCGAGGUAAUGAUUAAUAGGGACAGAUGGGGGCAUUCGUAUGCGACGUUAGAGGUGAAAUUCUUGGAUCGUCGCAAGACGGACAGAAGCGAAAGCAUUUGCCAAAAAUGUUUUCAUUAAUCAAGAACGAAAGUUAGAGGUUCGAAGGCGAUCAGAUACCGCCCUAGUUCUAACCAUAAACGAUGCCAGCUAGCGAUCCGCCGAAGUUCCUCCGAUGACUCGGCGGGCAGCUUCCGGGAAACCAAAGCUUUUGGGUUCCGGGGGAAGUAUGGUUGCAAAGCUGAAACUUAAAGGAAUUGACGGAAGGGCACCACCAGGAGUGGAGCCUGCGGCUUAAUUUGACUCAACACGGGAAACCUCACCAGGCCCAGACACCGGAAGGAUUGACAGAUUGAUAGCUCUUUCUUGAUUCGGUGGGUGGUGGUGCAUGGCCGUUCUUAGUUGGUGGAGCGAUUUGUCUGGUUAAUUCCGAUAACGAACGAGACUCUAGCCUGCUAAAUAGGCGUACCUUAUGGUAUCGCGAAGGCCCCCGGCUUCGGCCGGUGGGUUUUUACUACCAACGUACAAACAAAUCUUCUUAGAGGGACAGGCGGCUUCUAGCCGCACGAGAUUGAGCAAUAACAGGUCUGUGAUGCCCUUAGAUGUUCUGGGCCGCACGCGCGCUACACUGAAGGAAUCAGCGUGUGU
rnacentral:rRNA from 1 species